GGAUAUCAUAGCAAGAAAGCAAAGCAUGGAUAUGAUGAUUGAAGUUGCAGAUGCUAAGACUCAAUAUAUAUACCUUACACCAUUGGAACUCAAUAAGGCAGAACAUCCAAAUGUUUACAUAUACAGGAUGCCUGAUCCAGAAAGAAGAGAGGAUGAUUAGAAGAGAAAUGAAUUAUUUUGAUGAGAGAGAUUGUCAGUACAGACAGUCAUCAAUACAGUGAGAUUCAGUGUUAAAACCAACAAUUUGAUAUUGUUAUAAGUGGCAAAGACAAAUUAUGUGACAUUCAAAUGACUAGUAUUAUAUAUGUACGUAUUUCUGCAUAUACAUACAUAUGUACGUAACAUAUUUCUUGUCCCAUUUUUGUCUUUCCAAUUUGGGAUCUAACAAAGGAUCUAGAAGAAAAUUUCCAGACCAAGUACUAAAGUUUAAAAGGAAAGGGAGUGAAAGUGGAGGGGAUUAUGAAUAAUUUAAUUCUUAUAUUUUUGUUAGAUUUUAAAUUGACAUAAUGAAGUUUAGAAAUGGUAUGUCAUUUCUAAUAAGGCACAUGUUUCAUUCGUGGAGUUUGCUCUUGUUUUCCAUUCACAAUAGUUUCAGUAAUUUGUUCUUAGACAUGAUUUUAGACAUGAUUGCUAGGAAACAUGGAUAUUUUAUGCAUUAAUUUUGAAUUGUGCAUGGUCUUUUCCUUGAUAUUUAAAUAUAUAUAUAUUUUUUUCAAUGAAAGAGUAAUGUAAAUAUAAUUAAGUUUAGUGAACUGCAGCUGUACUUACUUUACACGGACAUUAUUUUCUGUUCUGUUUUGUAACAAUAUUUAUCAGUCAUUCAAUCAUGUAUUGUUCAUUUUUAUAGAUAGAGAAAUGGGAUAAAGUUGGAAAAUAAUUGGAUAAAACCAACUCACGACCAUGAUAACCUAUGCAAUCUCUCUCUUACACCAGUUUAUAUACCUGAAUCUGUAUGUUCAAGAAUUGUGGCCUUACUUUAUAUCUAAAAAUAUUAAAAUUUGUAUGUUUGAAACAAUGCUUGAUAUAGGCUUCUAUGAAUAUUAUGCCCUUGGGAAUAACAGUUGUAAUUAAAUAGAUCACAUAUUUACUGUUGUUAGUAACAGCUGGACAUAUAUUUUGGAAAGAGGAACAUAUAACAA